CCUGAACACACCUCUGACCCAGCGAAGGAUGUGGUCAGGAAGCUGCUGGUAGUUGACCCCAGUAAGAGGAUGACUAUAGAUGAAGCUCUGCAGCAUCCCUGGCUCCAGGAUGAUGUCAUGAUGAAGAC